CUUCGGCCCUUGCGNUAUCAGAUGAGCNUAGGUCGGAUUAGCUAGUUGGUGAGGUAACGGCUCACCAAGGCGACGAUCCCGUAACUGGUCUGAGAGGAUGAUCAGUCACACUGGAACUGAGACACGGUCCAGACUCCUACGGGAGGCAGCAGUGGGGAAUAUUGGACAAUGGGCGAAAGCCUGAUCCAGCCAUGCCGCGUGUGUGAAGAAGGUCUUCGGAUUGUAAAGCACUUUAAGUUGGGAGGAAGGGCAUUAACCUAAUACGUUAGUGUUUUGACGUUACCGACAGAAUAAGCACCGGCUAACUUCGUGCCAGCAGCCGCGGUAAUACGAAGGGUGCAAGCGUUAAUCGGAAUUACUGGGCGUAAAGCGCGCGUAGGUGGUUUGUUAAGUUGAAUGUGAAAGCCCCGGGCUCAACCUGGGAACUGCAUCCAAAACUGGCAAGCUAGAGUAUGGCAGAGGGUGGUGGAAUUUCCUGUGUAGCGGUGAAAUGCGUANAUAUAGGAAGGAACACCACUGGCGAANGCGACCACCUGGGCUAAUNCUGACACUGAGGUGCGAAAGCCUUGGGGGAGCNAACAGGAUUANAUACCCUGGUUAGUCCACGCCCGUNNACGAAUNUCNAACUAAC
rnacentral:rRNA from 2 species